rnacentral:rRNA from 1 species
GACGUAGGAGGCGAGCGUUAUCCGGAUUCACUGGGCGUAAAGCGCAUGUAGGCGGUUGCACAAGUCCGUUGUUAAAGCCCCUGGCUCAACUGGGGGAGGUCAAUGGAGACUGUGCGACUUGAGGGCAAUAGAGGCACGUGGAACUCCCGGUGUAGCGGUGGAAUGCGUAGAGAUCGGGAAGAACACCAGUGGCGAAGGCGACGUGCUGGGUUGCACCUGACGCUGAGAUGCGAAGGUGUGGGGAGCAAACGGG